GACCUGGUGGCGUAACUGGUAACACCUGCAUUUACUGUAAGGUGACAGUGACCCAUAAUCUACAAUGCGAGACCCUCGUUCAAUUCGAGGUCAGGCCA